rnacentral:misc_RNA from 1 species
GAAAGGCGAAACGUAAUGUGAAUCGCAACUAACAGUGAAUCAUCGAAUCUUUGAACGCAAACCGCACUUUGUGGUACUACUUGUAGUACUGCAAGGUAUCUACGUAUGAGUGUCAGCCUUAUAUUCUUUUGGUUCAUGAGGGAAACAUGAUUUAUUGUGUUUAACUUGUGAAUACACAGGUCUGACCGGACUAUCGCUCAGAAACUUUACACUGUGUCUGGCCUCAUAUGUGGAAGAUUACCCGCUGGAUUUAA